rnacentral:rRNA from 1 species
UACAGAGGGUGCGAGCGUUAAUCGGAAUUACUGGGCGUAAAGCGUGCGUAGACGGCUAUCUAAGUCGGGUGUGAAAGCCCCGGGCUCAACCUCGGAACUGCCUUUGAUACUGCAAGUCUCGAGUCCGAUAGAGGUGGGUGGAAUUCCUAGUGUAGAGGUGAAAUUCGUAGAUAUUAGGAAGAACACCGGUGGCGAAGGCGGCCCACUGGAUCGGUACUGACGCUGAGGUGCGAAAGCGUGGGGAGCAAACAGG